UAAUGCCUACGGGGGGCAGCAGUGAGGAAUAUUGGUCAAUGGGCGAGAGCCUGAAUCAGCCACGUCGCGUGAGGGAAGACGGCCCUACGGGUUGUAAACCUCUUUUGUCAGGGAGCAAGAACGGAUACGUGUAUCCGAGCGAGAGUACCUGAAGAGAAAGCAUCGGCUAACUCCGUGCCAGCAGCCGCGGUAAUACGGAGGAUGCGAGCGUUAUCCGGAUUUAUUGGGUUUAAAGGGUGCGCAGGCGGCCUGUUAAGUCAGCGGUAAAAGCCCGGGGCUCAACCCCGGCGGGCCGUUGAAACUGG
rnacentral:rRNA from 1 species